rnacentral:rRNA from 1 species
GUGUACGUACAAGCAGUGGGAGCACCCUUUGGGGUGUGACUGCGUACCUUUUGUAUAAUGGGUCAGCGACUUAUAUUCUGUAGCAAGGUUAACCGAAUAGGGGAGCCGGAGGGAAACCGAGUCUUAACCGGGCGUUAAGUUGCAGGGUAUAGACCCGAAACCCGGUGAUCUAGCCAUGGGCAGGUUGAAGGUUGGGUAACACUAACUGGAGGACCGAACCGAC